UCUGGCCUAGGGGACAGUGGUUAAAUCCCGCCACUGACUGAACCGGUCCAUUGUCAGGGAGCACGUAUGUAUUAGCAGAACUGUAGACAUGUGAUCUGGGGAACUAGAGACUGUGUUUCGUCUGGCAAUAAACCUGGCCGGGUGCCUUCGUGCCUUAUCGGCGUCUGCGGUCCUCGGGGUCUGGUGUGCCAGCGAUCUGCGCAGAGCCCGGGCAGCACGCAGGGGGAACACACGCACCCAGCCGCCUGUUAUCAACAACGGACAGAGCAGAGCACCACACCGGUGACGUCUGACGACAUUGGUGACCCCGACCGCUGAUCUGAUAAAGCAGGAAAACAAAAAAUUGGAGACAGCUGUGGCGAACCGGCAGAAGAACAAGACACCGUCCCCUGUUGCUCAACAGACGUGGAGUGCUUUUCCAGUCCCUGAAGGGUCGGGGCAGAAGUGGAAACAGAUGCCCCGGCUAACUUAAAAGCGGGAACAGGGGACAACUGGAAUGGAGGCUGCCCUGGGGACAUGUGGAAUGACCCAGCUGGACCAUCCUCUCUUGACCCGUGGGCAGCGGUCACCACACCCCAACUGCCACCUGAUGCUGAGAACCAGGUGGGGGCUGCCACACAGCAUCGAUUCUGACAAUGGUCCCGCUUUUAUCGGCCAGGUGUACCGAAAUAUGGGGACCUGGGCCGGGAUUCCCCUACCAUCACACCUGUGCCCCCUGC